rnacentral:lncRNA from 1 species
UCGCAUGUUUGCUAGACACAUCCGAUCCCAAGCCCGAAAAAGGAGGAGGGUUUGAGUCAACGAUGGGAUCUCAAUGUUUUUUAAUUAUCUCUGCAUUUGCGUUUUUUCUGCUUGUUAUUAGGUUACCUUUACUCUCAACUCUUUCUGAUUGCGCGCAUCUUUUCUCUGUUGCUGGUUCAACUUUUGGAAUAUUAAUUACAUUUGAGUGUUGAAGGCUUUAUUCUUGUAGUUGGGUAUAGAAAGGAGUCUAUGAGCUGCUGUCUUUAGAGAAUUGAAUGAUCUAGGGCUAACAUAAUAAAUUUUGAUUUUCAUUCCUUGACUCUACUUGUGAAUUUCACCUUAUUUUUGGCAGUUAGAUGUAACUGGUUCUAGACUAGCUGUGUUGGCUGGCCAUACAACUUUUGCAGUCGAAUGCAAAAUGAAUUCUUCAUUUGCCAGGUUGCACGAACCAUUUUAGGUGUGCUGUCUCUUAAGAGUAUGUUUUACUUGCCCUAUUAUUUAUCCCAUAAUCUGUUUCUUGCUUUGAAAUAAGUGACUUAUUAUUUUUAAUUUAAACUAUGUGCUCAUUGGUAUGGGGAAUGAGAACUUCUAACCAACCAUGUUCAUGAUAUCCACGGAAGUCAAAACUGUAAGAUGCCACAUUGUGAAUAUAUUAAUUUCAAAGGGCGUUAUUUAUUAAAUGGAAAAGUGUUCUUGGUUGUUCUGCAUGUGACACUGUAUUCACAAAAGUUGCUUUAUUGUGUCAAUUUAUGUUUUUAUCUAAUAAUAGGCUCUUGUAAUUCCGUCUGUGUCAAUCCAUAUCUAAGAUUAGAUAACAUUUAGGAAAAUGGUAUUAGCUCGAGUUACCUACCUUAGAGAACUCGUGGCAGUCUUAUUGACACACCUUUGAUUAGUUAAAAUUAUUAAUGUAAAUUGUUAGAUAACUUACUAGUAUAGCAGCGAAAUGAAAUAGUCAUUUAACUACAUUAAAUGUAUGUAAGAAAAUGCCCUUGAUCUGUUUAGUUCAGUUCUGUGUGAUGUUUUCUGGAAAUUUUCUUCGACUCAAUUUGGCAUACAGUCAUAGAAUUCAUUAAUUUGCUUGUACAGUCCAAAUUUUAUUAGAAUCAAUAAUUAUGAUUAACAUGCA